rnacentral:rRNA from 1 species
CUUGCUGGGUGGAUUAGUGGCGAACGGGUGAGUAACACGUGAGUAACCUGCCCUUAACUCUGGGAUAAGCCUGGGAAACUGGGUCUAAUACCGGAUAGGAGCGUCCACCGCAUGGUGGGUGUUGGAAAGAUUUAUCGGUUUUGGAUGGACUCGCGGCCUAUCAGCUUGUUGGUGAGGUAAUGGCUCACCAAGGCGACGACGGGUAGCCGGCCUGAGAGGGUGACCGGCCACACUGGGACUGAGACACGGCCCAGACUCCUACGGGGAGGCAGCAGUGGGGAAUAUUGCACAAUGGGCGAAAGCCUGAUGCAGCGACGCCGCGUGAGGGAUGACGGCCUUCGGGUUGUAAACCUCUUUCAGUAGGGAAGAAGCGAAAGUGACGGUACCUGCAGAAGAAGCACCGGCUAACUACGUGCCAGCAGCCGCGGUAAUACGUAGGGUGCGAGCGUUAUCCGGAAUUAUUGGGCGUAAAGAGCUCGUAGGCGGUUUGUCGCGUCUGUCGUGAAAGUCCGGGGCUUAACCCCGGAUCUGCGGUGGGUACGGGCAGACUAGAGUGCAGUAGGGGAGACUGGAAUUCCUGGUGUAGCGGUGGAAUGCGCAGAUAUCAGGAGGAACACCGAUGGCGAAGGCAGGUCUCUGGGCUGUAACUGACGCUGAGGAGCGAAAGCAUGGGGAGCGAACAGGAUUAGAUACCCUGGUAGUCCAUGCCGUAAACGUUGGGCACUAGGUGUGGGGACCAUUCCACGGUUUCCGCGCCGCAGCUAACGCAUUAAGUGCCCCGCCUGGGGAGUACGGCCGCAAGGCUAAAACUCAAAGGAAUUGACGGGGGCCCGCACAAGCGGCGGAGCAUGCGGAUUAAUUCGAUGCAACGCGAAGAACCUUACCAAGGCUUGACAUGUUCUCGAUCGCCGUAGAGAUACGGUUUCCCCUUUGGGGCGGGUUCACAGGUGGUGCAUGGGUUGUCGUCAGCUCGUGUCGUGAGAUGUUGGGUUAAGUCCCGCAACGAGCGCAACCCUCGUUUCCAUGUUGCCAGCACGUCGUGGUGGGGACUCAUGGGAGACUGCCGGGGUCAACUCGGAGGAAGGUGAGGACGACGUCAAAUCAUCAUGCCCCUUAUGUCUUGGGCUUCACGCAUGCUACAAUGGCCGGUACAAUGGGUUGCGAUACUGUGAGGUGGAGCUAAUCCCAAAAAGCCGGUCUCAGUUCGGAUUGGGGUCUGCAACUCGACCCCAUGAAGUCGGAGUCGCUAGUAAUCGCAGAUCAGCAACGCUGCGGUGAAUACGUUCCCGGGCCUUGUACACACCGCCCGUCAAGUCACGAAAGUUGGUAACACCCGAAGCCGGUG